AAUUACUGGGCGUAAAGAGUACGUAGGCGGUUUUUUAAGUCAGAGGUGAAAUCCCGGAGCUCAACUCCGGAACUGCCUUUGAAACUGGAAAGCUAGAAUCAUGGAGAGGUUAGUGGAAUUCCGAGUGUAGAGGUGAAAUUCGUAGAUAUUCGGAAGAACACCAGUGGCGAAGGCGACUGACUGGACAUGUGUUGACGCUGAGGUACGAAAGCGUGGGGAGCAAACAGGAUUAGAUACCCUGGUAGUCCACGCCGUAAACGAUGAUAACUAGUUGUUCGGGCACAACGUGCUUGAGUGACGCAGCUAACGCAUUAAGUUAUCCGCCUGGGGAGUACGGUCGCAAGAUUAAAACUCAAAGGAAUUGACGGGGGCCUGCACAAGCGGUGGAGCAUGUGGUUUAAUUCGAAGGCGAGCGCGCAGAACCUUACCAGCGUUUGACAUCCUUGUCGCGGAUUUCAGAGAUGAUUUCCUUCAGUUCGGCUGGACAAGUGACAGGUGCUGCAUGGCUG
rnacentral:rRNA from 1 species